rnacentral:rRNA from 1 species
AUUGAACGCUGGCGGCAUGCCUUACACAUGCAAGUCGAACGGUAACAGGUCUUCGGAUGCUGACGAGUGGCGCACGGGUGAGUAAUACAUCGGAACGUGCCCGAUCGUGGGGGAUAACGAGGCGAAAGCUUUGCUAAUACCGCAUACGAUCUACGGAUGAAAGCGGGGGAUCUUCGGACCUCGCGCGGACGGAGCGGCCGAUGGCAGAUUAGGUAGUUGGUGGGAUAAAAGCUUACCAAGCCGACGAUCUGUAGCUGGUCUGAGAGGAUGAUCAGCCACACUGGGACUGAGACACGGCCCAGACUCCUACGGGAGGCAGCAGUGGGGAAUUUUGGACAAUGGGCGAAAGCCUGAUCCAGCCAUGCCGCGUGCAGGAUGAGGGCCUUUGGGUUGUAAACUGCUUUUGUACGGAACGAAAAGCCUCUUUCUAAUAAAGAGGGGUCAUGACGGUACCGUAAGAAUAAGCACCGGCUAACUACGUG